UCAGACUUUGAUUGUCCUGUUUCUUAGAGGCAGCGGGUGAGAGGCUGCUUGCCUGGUGGGAUGACAGAAAAGGGCAAGAAGAGAGUUAGAAAAUGACUUCCAAGGGCCCCAGACUUCAACAGCAGCCGUAAUUGUGGGAAAGUAACCCGAAGAUGCCAAACAACAGGAAAUUACCAGAAGAAUCUGUCAGCACAAUCAGCUGCUAUUUUCAUUGUUCUUUGGCAAAUUUAUACACAGUCGGGAACACCUGGGCUGGCCUGAAGCCCAGGUUUGACUAAUUGCCAGGGGAGAGGAGUCGUCAUUUGUCUUCGAAGGGAUUUCCUCCAUUCGCUCCUCAAAACAUGUGGUUUCACUUUUCCCCUCUCUCCGCAGGAAAUGGCAGGACAGUGAGACGCAAAAUAAAUGAGUUCACUUCCAAGAGGUUGCCUCCUAAGAGGCCACUCCAAAAAUAACUGUCUUGUGAGAGGUUGUUAAUAACCAAGAUUCUAUAGACUGUCCUCAGAAAACAACAUUUCAAAGGCACAAUGAUUUCCACCCCCAGCCCCUUUCCUUCCAAACGCAGCGCACAUUAAAAAUAAAAGUCAUGGGAGACAAGAGAAGUAAUCAAGUUUUCUGGAUGGAGUGAAUGUCACUCCUUUCGCUCCUCUGCAAGACCCCUCUCCUUGGAGGGUAACCUCACCCAAAGCGCUUCCUUGACAAGUGAAAGGUGGAAUCGGAAUAGUGAGUGAUGUCAGUCUCCCUUGGUCUUCCUUGCUGCCCGUCACCCCCUUCCCUCUGACACGCAGCAUCUCAGCCUCCCAGGGGGGACCAAAGGGCGAUGCCUAAGACAUGGACUGAGCCCUGUUCACCUCAGCUGCCCUGCGCCUGGCAUGGGGUUGGUGCUAGUCAGUAUCCAUCGAAUGAAGAACACUGGACAGGUUGCACAAGUUACCUGCUUUGUGGCAAGCUUCCCAGGAGUAGNNAUUGAGAGCAGGCCGCAGAUCAUUACUACCCCCGGUGAAGCCAGCAACAUUUGGGUUUGAUUUGCUUUCAGUCACAGACCCCUUUCUCAAAGUCGAGCGGCACUGUAAUUCUAAACUGACCCACCUUCCCCCUCGCAAAGGUGAAAAAAUGUUAUGGAGCUUUUUACAACCCACAGCCCAUCAUUUAUACCGAAACACUGGGAGAGUUCAGACUUGGCUUAUUUUCGCUAACUCAGAGUUGUUUUGACAUGUUUAUUUGUUUAAUUUGUUUAUUUUGACUAGCUCUGAUUAUAAUUGGCAGCAGUGUGUAGCAUUAACAUUAGACAGUGUCUUAGACUUGUCUGUUACAAUAAUGCAAAAAGAAUGUGAAGGAAAAUCUACCCACUGCGUAACAAUGGCAGGCAGGCAGGAAAUCUACAAGAGAGUCGUUCCACACAAAAAAAGAAAUGUUAAAAAAAAAAACAACGUAACCUCAGUUUCCAAUUUUAUUUAAAAAUUUACACAACUGUACAAAUGAUAUCUGAGCACUGAUUAUUUUCCUUAUUCAAUAAAUCUGCCCCUCUGCUAAGAGACUUAGACAACAGUGACUAAAAGUGGAAAUUUUUGAAAACUCUAACCUUUGGAAUUGGUUUUUUUGAGAUUUUUUAAAAUAGUUCUGCUCUCUGGGCUCUUUAACAAAUCAAAGCACAAUAAUUAUUUGAUAAUGUUGUUGUAAUAUUGGGAUGAUCACAUGGUAUCCAAUGCAGUUUAUGGUUGAAGAUAUACUUUCUGAAUUCUUUGACUUAGACUCCCUGAACAAUGAGAUCUCCAUCGCAAACAGAGAGGCUUAUCUAAAUUAGGCAAAUUCUCCUGGAUUUUUCUCAUAUUUGCCAAAACAAUGGUCAUAUCACCUUAGCUUCCUUCUUGGGGCCUGCAAUGGUCUACACAAAGCCCAUUUCACAGGGCUGAUCCACACUCUGUAUAUAUA
ensembl:lncRNA